GAUGAAGAACGCAGCGAAAUGCGAUAAGUAAUGUGAAUUGCAGAAUUCAGUGAAUCAUCGAAUCUUUGAACGCACAUUGCGCCCUCCGGUAUUCCGGGGGGCAUGCCUGUCCGAGCGUCAUUACAACCCUCAAGCCCGGCUUGCGUGUUGGGCGUCGGCCCCCCGGGGCCCGCCCGAAAUACAGGGACCUCCCGUUGAAGGGCUCCCAGCGUAUGGGCUAACACCCGCUGAGAGAGACCCCAGACACCGAGGUCGAACCCCCGCAGUUUAACUGUAGCUUGGUGGACCUCGGAUCAGGUAGGGAUACCCGCUGAACUUAAGCAUAUCAAUAAGCGGAGGA
rnacentral:misc_RNA from 1 species